AUUUGAAAGGCAGUUACAGAGAGAGAGAGAGAGAGAGACAGAGAGAGAGAGAGCUUCCAUCCAUUGGUUAGUUCACUCCCCAAAUGGCCACAUUACUGCCAGACCUGGAUCAGACUGAAGUCAGGAACCAGGAGCUUCUUCUGGGCCUCCCACAGACCCAAGCACUUGGGCUAUCUCCUGCUGCUUUCCCAGAUGCAUUAGCAGAGAGCUGGAUUGGAAGUGGAGCAGCUGGGACUUGAACCCAUUACACCACAUUGCCAGCCCCAAAGAGGAAUGUUUUAGUCCUAACUGAGCUGAUUCCACUAUGCAAUAUGAUACCAAUCAUUUAUAUUCAGUAAUAAUUAAGGAAUCUUGCAUUUGAUCUUUUUUCCACGGCCCUGUUUUGAUUUUGGCAUCUUUAAUAUUUGAAUACUCUAGCAUAUUCGUGAGUAAGUCCCAAGAAACUGUUCAAACAGCAAUGUCUUUAGGUCAGCAGAAAUUCAAGGGAGAAAUUUGGUUUCACUGUGCAACUAUGAGAGCUUUUGUGACAUGCAUUUCUCUGCAAACUAUUGAAAAUCCCACGCAGUUUUUCACCAAUUUUCACUGAUUCUAGAAUAGAUUGCAUGGGCCCAACUGUGAGGGUCUAUGUGUCUCUCUAAGUGAGAAUUAAUGGGGUAAAAGACGCUUGAAAAAAAAAAGGCAGAUUUUAAAAACUUUGUUGUUGCUGCUCUAAGUUACUCAUCCAUUUUCAUCUUCAGAUGUCCUGUGUGAAUACCUUCUAGGGGAUGGAUUCUCCUGCUGCUUUUGAGAAUGGACAAUGAAUACUUUAUAGAAACAUGAACUUCAAACAUUCAGAGUUCAGUCUUCAUUGCUGGAGUGCCAUUUUGCUUUUCUAUUCACACAGGGCUUUUGUUUUCCCUAAUUCUCAUUUGUGAUGGCUGAGAAGUGUAGCAGACACUGCCAGACCCCAGACUCCACAUCAGAGCAAACCCCAGACUCCACAUCAGAGCCUCUGAGUUGUGGCUGGCCAACUUUUUCUGUAAAGGACCGAGGAGUAAAUAUGCAAAGCUUGGUUUUGCAUGUGGUCUCCGUCACAACAUUGCAGCAGAAAGAGGAGACGUGGACAAUGUGUGAAUGGAUGAACACAUUCCUGUACAACAUUGUCUUUAGACCCUGAAAUUAGAAUUCAUAAAAUUGUAUGUGUCUUGAAAUAGUCUUCUUUUGAUUUUUUUUGACCAUUUACAAAUGUUAGCUUACAGCUCCACCAUUCACCCAUCCAGGCACAGAAUAAAAGUAUGUAGGACAA
rnacentral:lncRNA from 1 species